GAUGGCACUUCAAAGAAUGGGAAUUGUUGAUAAUUAUGAAAGAAUACGGGAGUUCUCUGUUGCCAUUGUUGGAAUAGGUGGAGUGAGUUCCGUUGCAGCCGAAAUGUUAACAAGUGGAGUUGGCUAACAUGAAUAGGCUAUUCUUCCGUCCAGAGCAGAUUUUGAAAAAAAAAGGUCGCCAGAAAAAUCGCCUGCGGCAGCUGUCGGCAGCGGUAGAGUCAAAAGUGGCAAGGGCUGGUCAAAGUGGGUCUUGGGUCAUCCUGAUAGGCCUAUGUGAUCUUGAAAGUCUUCUUGAACAUGGUUAAAUUUCAAAAUCAAACAAGGCCCAAUCAUCAUAAAUUUAGUGGAACGGGGCAGAAGGCAUGAUCAGCAAGCACCUUCAUCCCUAUAAUUAAUUUUCUUUUUCGCUCUUUUGAAUAUUUCUCCGCAUCUAGAAGCUUAAGAGUGUUGUAAUUGAGGCCAAAGCUCAACUUGUUGGAAUCCAUGAGGAUAAUUCCAAUUCAAUCCUAUCGGAUAAUCUAAUGAACAACACAACCAGGAUUCAAACAUGUAGUAUCAAUGGCUAAUCCAAAUGCAGAAGAUGUUGCAUAGUUUCUCAGACAUUAUAAAUAACUACACUAGAAGAUUGUGGCCAAACGGGUACUGUCAGCAUGGGACGAGGUUGAUGCAGGACUGGCAAUUGGAGUCCAUAAAGAAUGUUCUUGAACAAACAAAGAUGAUCAUCGGAUUGCCCAUUAAAGUGAACUUCUCUAAGCUUGAAAAACACAUGCAUUGUUAGAAGACUAUCAGAUCCAGCUUGGUGGCUCUGGCCUGCAAUCCUCUCCACAUUUAGGAUUUCCGCUACUCGGCUUAAACCUCCAUAGAGCCCUUUGCAAAACUUCAUAAUAUGUUUCAAGUCAAAGAUAGCCUCCCCGAAAAUUUCCCUAACAGCACCCAUGAACAUGACCA